ACCGUCUGACGAGUCCUAAAUAGGACGAAAUGCGCAUCUUGUAU
rnacentral:hammerhead_ribozyme from 1 species